UUACGGCCAUGCCACCUUGAAACACUGGUUUUCGUCCGAUUACCGAAGUUAAGCAACGAUGAGCCAGGCCAGUAACAAGAUGAAUGACCUUUAGGAAAUCCCAGGUGCUGGAA